rnacentral:rRNA from 1 species
UACGUAGGGACCAAGCGUUGUCCGGAAUCAUUGGGCGUAAAGAGCGUGUAGGCGGCUUGUUAAGUCUUGCGUGAAAUCUCGGGGCUCAACCCCGAGCGGUCGUGAGAAACUGGCAGGCUAGAGUGCGGGAGAGGAGAGUGGAAUUCCUGGUGUAGCGGUGAAAUGCGCAGAUAUCAGGAAGAACACCCGUGGCGAAGGCGGCUCUCUGGAACGCAACUGACGCUGAGGAGCGAAAGCUAGGGGAGCAAACGGG